GAUGAACGCUGGCGGCGUGCUUAACACAUGCAAGUCGAACGGUGAACGAGGGAGCUUGCUCCCUCCGGAUCAGUGGCGAACGGGUGAGUAACACGUGAGCAAUCUGCCCCGAACUCUGGGAUAAGCGCUGGAAACGGCGUCUAAUACCGGAUACGACGCGCGAAGGCAUCUUCUGCGCGUGGAAAGAAUUUCGGUUCGGGAUGAGCUCGCGGCCUAUCAGCUAGUUGGUGAGGUAACGGCUCACCAAGGCGACGACGGGUAGCCGGCCUGAGAGGGUGACCGGCAACACUGGGACUGAGACACGGCCCAGCGUCCUACGGGAGGCAGCAGUGGGGAAUAUUGCACAAUGGGCGCAAGCCUGAUGCAGCAACGCCGCGUGAGGGACGACGGCCUUCGGGUUGUAAACCUCUUUUAGUAGGGAAGAAGCGAAAGUGACGGUACCUGCAGAAAAAGCACCGGCUAACUACGUGCCAGCCGCCGCCGUAAAAC
rnacentral:rRNA from 1 species